rnacentral:rRNA from 1 species
AGGACGAACGCUGGCGGCGUGCUUAACACAUGCAAGUCGAACGGAAAGGCCCUUCGGGGUACUCGAGUGGCGAACGGGUGAGUAACACGUGGGUGAUCUGCCCUGCACUUUGGGAUAAGCCUGGGAAACUGGGUCUAAUACCGAAUAUGAUCAUGCACCUCAUGGUGUGUGGUGGAAAGCUUUUGCGGUGUGGGAUGGGCCCGCGGCCUAUCAGCUUGUUGGUGGGGUAAUGGCCUACCAAGGCGACGACGGGUAGCCGGCCUGAGAGGGUGUCCGGCCACACUGGGACUGAGAUACGGCCCAGACUCCUACGGGAGGCAGCAGUGGGGAAUAUUGCACAAUGGGCGCAAGCCUGAUGCAGCGACGCCGCGUGGGGGAUGACGGCCUUCGGGUUGUAACCCUUUCAGUGCCGACGAGCGCGAGUGACGGUAGGCACGAGAAGAAGCACCGGCCAACUACGCGCCAGCAGCCGC